AUGCCGCUGCCGCCAGAGAUGCCGCUGGGUCUCCCCUUCACCGUCGACACAUGGGGCCCAUCCCGCCGCUACCGGCGCCACCGCUUCAUCACCCACGCGCACACGGACCACAUUGCCGAUGCCUGGGCCGGCCCCGGGGACACCGUCUACGCCACCCAGCUCACCAUGCGCCUCGCCCUCCAACGCCAUCCCCAGCUGGAGCGGGGUAAGUUUGUGGAAAUGGAGGUGGGAAAGAGGUGGGUGGUGGACGACCCUGACGGCGCCUUUUCCGUCACCGCCUACGAUGCCAAUCACUGCGCUGGAGCGGUUAUGUUGCUGUUCGAGGGUCCAUUUGGUACCAUACUGCACACGGGGGACUGUCGGCUCACAUCACAUUGUGUACGGAAAUUGCUACUGAAAUUGGAAGCAAAUCUUUGCCCGUUGGACACUGUGUACUUGGACUUGACAUUUCCCAAAUUUCUCGAGUUUCCGAGCAAGGAGUCGGCGAUUCAGCAGGUUAUAGCUUGCAUAUCGAAGCAUUCACGUGCACCUUUCAUUUAUCUCGGAUGUCAAAGACUUGGCCAAGAAGAGAUCUUAAAAGAGGGACUGUACUUGGAUUGUUUUAACACAUUGUCACACAUUGUCCCUGAAAUAAUCACUGAUGAUCCAACUAGUCGCUUCCAGGUACUGCCAGUUCAAUCCAAGGAGCUAAAUAAGAUAGCAACCGAGAAGCUCGAAGAGGCAAGGGCUAGCGAUCAGCCAGAACCUUUAUUUAUUCGUCCUUCAGCAUGGCGGUAUUCCAAUGCUUAUGUUCAAAACCGGAAACCCAGCCUAACAGAAGCUGAGCAGGAUGGUAAUGUAUGGCGUGUUUGUUUCUCCAAUCACUCCUCUGGUAAUGAAUUAGAGCCGGCACUGCAACUCCUCCAGCCUCAAUGGGUCGUUUCAACCACUCCCCCAAAUUUGGCGAGUGAACUGAGUUAUGUAAGGAGACGCUAUUUAUCACACACAACACAGGGACAUGCGCCAUCAAGCAUCUGUUUCCGCACAACAUCCCUAUGUCCGGUUGAGGCAGACUAUGAUAAUUUUAUUCGAGGGAAGGAAGACUAUGAAUAUUUUAUUCGAGGGAUACCGUCUCAAGGGCAGAGGUAA
rnacentral:rRNA from 1 species